GGAUAAUCUGGGGCUCCAGAGUUAUAGCUUUCUUGCUAUUUAAGUCUCUUUAUUCUGUUAGCUUCUAAAGCUCAUUUUCCAUCUUUUAAACUCAUCUUUAAAAAAGUGAACUCACAAUGAUAUAAUAUAUUAGUCAAGCAUCCUCUCAGGCAUUAAGUACAUAAAUGUAAACUCUAAUGGAAACUCAAGCAUUAGAAAAUCUAUAUUCAGCAUAUAAAGCUUUGUCCAUGGUGAAACAUUUACCCAUUCUCAAUUUAUGCUGUAAUCAGCAAAAGACUAGGGCCCAAACACAGUGAACAAGUCUCCAAGCUAUAUUUUUCCAUUUUUAAUAUUACUAUUCAUGCACAUUUAUUUAAAAACAGAACAUUUUCUUUUAACCACCAUUAUUGGUUUUCAAUUCCAGAUGUUUGAUGUCCUGCUGAUUUUAUCACCUGAUUGUCUCAGCCGGUUUCUGGUGUUGGGAAAGAGCAGACAAACUAUCAUUGAUUUAUCUAUCUACUGUGUGGGCCCCCACCCAAUUAACACAGAAGAAAGAAGCUUCAUGGAAUUAUAGAAAGUAAUGGAUAAAGCGUGAAAGGUGAAUAAACACUGAUCAGACUCUGGGGCACAUCACUGGCAGUGAGGGGGCCUUUUCUUCCUUUAACUGGGUGAAACCUGUCAUCUUCUCCAUCUUUGCUCUACGCUCUUCUAUCCAUGGACUCUACAAUGUGUCUGACUAGACCAUUAUGGAAAUGAAAUCUUCUCAUGGAUUAAAAUAAGCUUGUAUCCUGGAUACCUGAGAAAGUUUUACUUAAAAUGUGCCUGUUUGCCAUUUGCACAGUCUGGUUUAACCCUGUUAUCACUAUUUUUUCAAGGAAAAAUGAUGUUUGAAGCCGAAAAAAAUCUAGGGCUCUCCAAUCAGUUCCCUAUUUAUAUCUUCUGAAUAGAGUAGCACAUUGUCUUCAGGUGAAUGGUGCUCUCUGAGGUACAUGGUUGCCCUGAGAAUCGAGAAGACUGGGCUGGGUCUUGAGAGCAGGACACUGAAAUCUUCAGAGCUGCCAAAUUUCAGUGGCUCCUUCCGCUUUUCCUGUUAAUGAUUAUAUCACAAGGUAUGUGCAGAUUUCUGCGCAGCUGCAGCAACUGCAAAAAAAUAAGUUCAUAAUAUCGGGAGUUCCCAUAGUGGCUCAGAGGUUAAUGAAUCUGACUAGGAACCAUGAGGAUGUGGGUUCAAUCCCUGAACCUUGCUCAGUGGGUUAAGGAUCCGGUGUUGCCGUGAGCUGUGGUGUAGGUUGCAGACUCGGCUUGGAUCCUGCGUUGCUGUGGCUCUGGUGUAAGCUCGUGGCUACAGCUCCGACUCAACCCCUAGCCUGGGAAUCUCCAUAUGCUGCAGGAGCAGCCCAAGAAAUGGCAAAAAGACAAAAAAAAAAAAAUUAAAAAAAAAAAAGUUCGUAAUAUAGAUGGCAAGACUCUCAAAACAAGUAACUCAUAAAAGAAGAAAGAUAAAUAGUAAAUGAUCCUGUGAGAGGGUAUUUUGCCUCUCUUGUAAUGAAAGCAAUGCCACCCAAAAUGGUAAGGAUGAUAGGGUAAGCCAUUUAAACUGAUAGCAUAGUUGGUGUAAAUGUGGAGGAAGCCUGCAAGAGAACAGACCCCUCAAUAAUGGCAAUGCUGGUUAUUAGUAGACACCGUGAUCAUGGUUGACUUUUCUCUUUGUUUUCAUACAUGUUUGAAUGUCUUCUUAUCUGCCUACCCUUCUAAUAGACACUCACAUAAGAAGCAUAUAUCGAAUUAGGGAAAUAAAUAGAGGGAACACACUAAUGCAAUGUAUGUUUAAAACUUUUAAAAUAAAAAAAAUGUUAAA
rnacentral:lncRNA from 9 species